UUUUCCUGCAGACAAUGCCAUGACCCGGAUGGGAGUGCAGAGCAGGUCUGGACUGACAGGACAGUCAUCCACGACCACAUCAGCCUGACAUUCCCUGAUGAUGGCAACGGGAUGAACUCGGAGCAGCUGCACAAAAUACUAAGUUGGCAACCAAGAGAAGAGACAGACUCGGCUCCAAUCCUUUGGAGUAUUGAUAAGAGAAGGUAUUGUGGGAAAUGACCCUGUGCCUUUUCUGUUUCUCCUGCCAGAGUCGGUAGGGUUUGGACUGAUCUCUCUUUUAUUUCUCCAGGUAGCAGAGAGGUUUCUUUCCCCUUUAGUAGAGAAGAUAGUGUAGAGACCCCUUAUUAGAGAAGAUAGUGUACAGACCCCUUUAGUAGAGAAGAUAGUGUACAGAGAAGAUAGUAGAGAAGAUAGUGUACCCCUUAUUAGAGAAGAUUGCUCUGCCUGCAGCUGUACCCAUGGACAAGCUUGGAUUCCAACAGUUCUGUUCACAGCAAUGCAGCUGUGGCAGUUCCCUGCUUAGAGAGAAGCUGGAAUUCGUUGGCACUGGAGCACGUUGUCCCAGGAAGCGACUACUCCCUGCCAGGACGUAGGAGAUGUUUUUCCAUUGACCUUGGGUUUGGGAGCUGGAGGGUUUUUGGGUGUUGUUUUCAAAUCAGGUCUGUUUUGUGGGCUUUUUACAGUAUUUGGUACCCGAAGCCGAGCACGCAGAUCAUCCUGGGAGGACAAAGAGCCAAAACACAGCUGGUUUCCAAAGCUGUCUUCCCCCACACUUGUCAUGUGGGCACAGGGAUACCACACUUGCAAGGGCUUCUCCAAAGGUUUUUCUGCCAGGAGUGCUCCAGGCUUUCAGAAGGUAAC
rnacentral:lncRNA from 1 species